UUCUAUCGAAAGGGAAUCGGGUUAAUAUUCCCGAACCAGGACGUGGAUGUUGAGUGGUAACACAAGCAAAGCCGGGGACGACGGCGGGAGCCCCGACGAGAGUUUUCUUUUCUUGUUAACAGAUUUCAAUGACCCUGGAAUCGGAUUGACCGGAGAUAGGGUUAUCGGUCUGGGAAAGGCGGUCGCUUUUGGACCGCUUCGGUGCGCUCUCGACGUUCCUUGAAAACCUGGCGGCGUGUCUUAUUCGCACUCCUGGUCGUACUCAUAACCGCAUCAGGUCUCCAAGG
rnacentral:rRNA from 1 species